rnacentral:rRNA from 1 species
CCUACGGGGCGCACCAGUGGGGAAUAUUGCACAAUGGGCGAGAGCCUGAUGCAGCGACGCCGCGUGAGGGAAGACGGCCUUCGGGUUGUAAACCUCUUUCAGCAGGGACGAAUUCAGACGGUACCUGCAGAAGAAGCGCCGGCCAACUACGUGCCAGCAGCCGCGGUAAGACGUAGGGCGCAAGCGUUGUCCGGAUUUAUUGGGCGUAAAGAGCUCGUAGGCGGCUUGUCGCGUCGACUGUGAAAACCCGCGGCUCAACCGUGUGGUCUGCAGUCGAUACGGGCAGGCUAGAGUUCGGUAGGGGAGACUGGAGUUCCUGGUGUAGCGGUGAAAUGCGCUGAUAUCAGGAGGAACACCGGUGGCGAAGGCGGGUCUCUGGGCCGAUACUGACGCUGAGGAGCGAAAGCGUGGGGAGCGAACAGGAUUAGAUACCCGAGUAGUC